GCCAUUGUGACCCACCAACCUUGAUCCCAUCUCACCGGUUCUGGUUCCGUUUCAAGGCUGCGCCCCGACAGGUGCACUUACCUGGUGAUCACAGCAGGAUUCCGGUUUCCAACGUGGGGGAGCCAGGCCCACACCACCCUGUGCAGCCUGGCGAUUUAAUAGGACUCACUUCUUUCUGGGAGUGCUGUUAGUUAUGCUUUUAUGUAAAUAGGACAAGUUUCUUCCUUUCUUUUUUUUUUUUAAAGGUUUUAUUUAUUUAUUCAUGAGCGACACAGAGAAAGAGAGAGGCAGAGACCCAGGCAGAGGGAGAAGCAGGCUCCAUGCCGGGAGCCCGACAUGGGACACGAUCCCGGGUCUCCAGGAUCACACCAUGGGCUGCAGGCAGCGCUAAACCGCUGAGCCACUGAGGCUGCCCUAUAGGACAAGUUUCUUGUCACCCCUUGUAUCAACUGUCUGUGGCCACAAUAACAGCACCCUGUCCCUUGACUCCCUCUGUCUGGCUGUCUGCGCCCUCGUGUGUCUGCUACCCACGGGAGGGGUCUCACAUACAUGGGGUGCGUGGGCUGGGCUGGGGGCUGGCUGACCCGGCUGGGCUCUGUGGGGCCUCUCAUCCUCCCCCUGGCCAGCCUGGGCUUGUUCUCGCCAUGUCGCAGCGUCCAAGAGAGGAAGUGGGCACCUCUGGAGCCCAGGCGGAGGCUGGUGGCCUGACCUUUACUCCGCAAAGCCGCCCCAGUUCCAGGGGCAGAGACAGACUGUGUCCCUUAAGGGGCUGCAAAGGUGCAUUGACAGGAGCCAGGUUGCAGGGGGGAGAGGUGGGACCUGCCCUCCCGACCUAGGGUAGCAGCUGAGCGACAGAGACAGAGCAGGUGCUGGUGUCCCCAUCAGCGUCUGGGAGGACAGGCAUGUGCGUGCGUGUGCGUGCAGAUACAAGCCCGUUUCCAACGUGUCUCGUUUGUGUUCCUGUCAACACCCCCGGCAUGCCUUGCGACGGCCAGCACCUGAGCACGCAUGGGAGUUGGGGCAGGAGCUCCCGCCCGGAGUCUGCAGCCGCCAGCAGAGUGUGGUCCAGGAGAGACCCUGAGAUGCUGGCGCGUGACCUUGCAGAAUGCUGCGUCCGUCCCCUGCUCUGGAGUGACUGUUCUCUGUGACAGGAUCCUAUGAGGACCCGCGGGCAUGUGGGCCACGAUGGGGCACCCGGUCCCCACUCCGUGGACUUGGCCAAGCUCCGGUUUAUGGCUGAGACCCUCGACCCGGAAGACAAUUCUGUAGGGAAAGAGAUGGUGACGCCUCCAGUUCCUCCAUGAACACUGAUGACCUGACGUUUGCGUCUGUCGCGCCGAGCGGACGCCGCGGAGAAGGUGCCAGGUGCUCGGCCGCCCUCGGAGCCCGGGCGCGGGACGUCCUUCUCGGAAGCACCAGCGGCCCCACACAGAUCGACGCCAGCUGCUCGCUGACAGGUUCCCGGGGAGCACGUUUGGCUUCCUGUGCAAACACGGGAAUACCUGAUUCCAAACGUGGAUCAAGACCUAUUGGAAGAAGGACAGCGGUUGGGUGGCCGGUCGCGAUUGUGCCUCCUGCGGCCGUGGAUCCCCGGAGAAGCGUGUCCCGUUUUGUCCUCGGGCUGCACGUGGGGUGGGGGAGUCUCACCUGCAGGUUUUCUGGGACACCUGGAUGGUCCUAGCAACGUCUCUCCUCCCUCCCGGGCUUGCUGCGGCUCUCGGGCGGUCCGGGCCGCAGGACGCGGAGAGAGCGACUGGGUGUCCUGACGUCCAGGGUAAGGACGCAUCCAGGAUGGGGCUCAGGUCUGCACGCGGGACCCUUCUCGUCUGCCUCCUCCGGCGGCACACAGCCUCGGUAAAGGGCUGCCUCAGGCCUGGAGCGCUCAGGGCACCGAGCCAGGCUCUUUCCCUGCACCAGAGCCUCACAGCAAAGCUGACUAGCGACUGAGACCCCAUUUGCAGGCAGGACACGGGUUCAGAGAGGGUUCUAUUUACUUGUUAGAGAGAACGCAAGCAGGAGUCGGGGCAGAGGCAGAGGAAGAAGCAGGCGCCUCGCUGAGCAGGGAGCCCGAUGCAGGACUGGAUCCCGGGACCCCGGACCAGACGGCGUAACCGACCCAGCCACCCAGACAGAGAAGCCGUGAGUGGGUGACGAGUGGGCCGCAAAGAGGGGUCUGUGUGAAGGGCGUCGCGACGAGGGACGGGUUCGUUUGUACGGAUUUCCUACCCGCGUUUCCUGUCUCUGUGAAAACCCUGAACGUUGGGCUCUUAGGACAAGAGGUGUUGUUCCAGCAGCGUCGGCGGCUGAUUUCAUCAGAGCGGAGCCCGGGGAAGACCGUGGAAAUGAGCGCUGCCGGGAGGUAGGGAGCCUCAGGGGGACCGCGGGCCUUCCACCCUGUUUCUGAGCGAGUGCACCCCGGACACAUCGCUCGGCGCUCGCAUCACCA